GAUGAACGCUGGCGGCGUGCCUAAUACAUGCAAGUCGAGCGAACGGACGAGAAGCUUGCUUCUCUGAUGUUAGCGGCGGACGUGUGAGUAACACGUGUAUAACCUACCUAUAAGUCUGGGAUAACUUCGGGAAACCGGAGCUAAUACCGGAUAAUAUUUUGAACCGCAUGGUUCAAAAGUGAAAGACGGUCUUUCUGUCACUUAUAGAUGGAUCCGCGCUGCAUUAGCUAGUUGGUAAGGGAACGGCUUACCAAGGCAACGAUGCAUAGCCGACCUGAGAGGGUGAUCGGACACACUGGAACUGAGACACGGUCCAGACUCCAACGGGAGGCAGCAGUAGGGAAUAUUCCGCAAGGGGCGAAAGCAUGACGGAGCAACGCCGCGUGAGUGAUGAAGGUCUUCGGAUCGUAAAACUCUGUUAUUAGGGAAGAACAUAUGUGUAAGUAACUGUGCACAUCUUGACGGUACCUAAUCAGAAAGCAACGGCUAACUACGUG
rnacentral:rRNA from 1 species